AGUGGGAUAACUGGGUCAAAUGGUGGCUCCUAUCCGAGUUUUCUGAGGAAUCUCCAAAUUGCUUUGCAGAGUGGCUGCACCAGGUUGCAGUCCCACCAGUAAU
rnacentral:pre_miRNA from 1 species